rnacentral:rRNA from 1 species
CCUACGGGGGGCAGCAGUAGGGAAUAUUGCUCAAUGGGGGGAACCCUGAAGCAGCAACGCCGCGUGGAGGAUGAAGGUUUUCGGAUUGUAAACCCCUUUUGUUAGAGAAGAUAAUGACGGUAUCUAACGAAUAAGCACCGGCUAACUCCGUGCCAGCAGCCGCGGUAAUACGGAGGGUGCAAGCGUUACUCGGAAUCACUGGGCGUAAAGAGUGAGUAGGCGGGAUAGGAAGUAAGAUGUGAAAUGCUAUGGCUUAACCAUAGAACUGCAUUUGAAACUGGUACUCUAGAGUAUUGGAGAGGUAGGUGGAAUUCUUGGUGUAGGGGUAAAAUCCGUAGAGAUCGAGAGGAAUACUCAUUGCGAAGGCGACCUGCUGGAACAUAACUGACGCUGAUGCGCGAAAGCGUGGGGAGCAAACAGGAUUAGAUACCCGUGUAGUC